UGGUCGCCGACGAGUGGCGGACGGGCAGAGUAACACGUAGGUAACCUGCCCAGAAGCGGGGGACAACAUUUGGAAACAGAUGCUAAUACCGCAUAACAGCGUUGUUCGCAUGAACAACGCUUAAAAGAUGGCUUCUCGCUAUCACUUCUGGAUGGACCUGCGGUGCAUUAGCUUGUUGGUGGGGUAACGGCCUACCAAGGCGAUGAUGCAUAGCCGAGUUGAGAGACUGAUCGGCCACAAUGGGACUGAGACACGGCCCAUACUCCUACGGGAGGCAGCAGUAGGGAAUCUUCCACAAUGGGCGCAAGCCUGAUGGAGCAACACCGCGUGAGUGAAGAAGGGUUUCGGCUCGUAAAGCUCUGUUGUUAAAGAAGAACACGUAUGAGAGUAACUGUUCAUACGUUGACGGUAUUUAACCAGAAAGUCACGGCUAACUACGUGCCAGCAGCCGCGGUAAUACGUAGGUGGCAAGCGUUAUCCGGAUUUAUUGGGCGUAAAGAGAGUGCAGGCGGUUUUCUAAGUCUGAUGUGAAAGCCUUCGGCUUAACCGGAGAAGUGCAUCGGAAACUGGAUAACUUGAGUGCAGAAGAGGGUAGUGGAACUCCAUGUGUAGCGGUGGAAUGCGUAGAUAUAUGGAAGAACACCAGUGGCGAAGGCGGCUACCUGGUCUGCAACUGACGCUGAGACUCGAAAGCAUGGGUAGCGAACAGGAUUAGAUACCCUGGUAGUCCAUGCCGUAAACGAUGAGUGCUAGGUGUUGGAGGGUUUCCCGCCCUUU
rnacentral:rRNA from 1 species